AAUAACGGGUUUGUCACGCGUGUUGUCAGACCGCAAAUGGUAAACUGUUCUGCUCAGGCUCAGGCUCAGGCUCAGGCUCAGGCUCAGGCUCAGGCUCAGGCUUGACGAAUACUGAGCCCGAAUGUUGUUAUCAAGUACGUCACCAGCUCACGCUUAAAGGCUGGUUUU
rnacentral:sRNA from 1 species